AGCUCUCCGAGUGGUAGGGAUGAUUAUUGGGCCUAAAGCGUCCGUAGCCGGCCUGGCAAGUCUUUCGUUAAAUCCAGCAACCUAAUUGUUGGGCUGCGAGAGAUACUGCUAGGCUAGAGGGUGGGAGAGGCCGACGGUAUUCCCGGGGUAGGGGUGAAAUCUUAUAAUCCCGGGAGGACCACCAGUGGCGAAGGCUGUCGGCUAGCACGCGCCUGACGGUGAGGGACGAAAGCUGGGGGAGCGAACCGGAUUAGAUACCCGAGUAGUCC
rnacentral:rRNA from 1 species